AUACGGAGGAUCCGAGCGUUAUCCGGAUUUAUUGGGUUUAAAGGGUGCGCAGGCGGCCAUUUAAGUCAGCGGUUAAAUCGUGGGGCUCAACCCCAUUCUGCCGUUGAUACUGGGUGGCUUGAUUGCGGUCGAGGUUGGCGGAAUUCGUUGUGUAGCGGGGAAAUGCAUAGAUAUGACGAAGAACACCGAUUGCGUAGGCAGCUGACCAGACCGCAAAUGACGCUCAUGCACGAAAGUGCGGGGAUCGAACAGGAUUAGAUACCCUGGUAGUCCGCACAGUAAACGAUGAAUACUUGUUUUCGGCGAUAUAAUGUCGGAGGUAAAGCGAAAGCGAUAAGUAUUCCACCUGGGGAGUACGCCGGCAACGGUGAAACUUAAAGGAAUUGACGGGG
rnacentral:rRNA from 1 species